GCAUAAUAAAAGGGUUGAAGUCAGCCUGAAAGCCUUGGCAGCGAUUGGCGAGGGAGCAGUCUCCACAGCGGGCUGUGUGUUCCACGGGGUGACCUUCUCCCUGGGGUCCCUGCAGCCUGGACCCUGGAAGGGGCACCGCGAGGGUCUUGUGGGCGGCUCUGGAGGAGUUUCGCUUUGGCAUCUGGAUCAGGACUGAGUCAAGCCUCCCACAUUCUGCAGCAGCUCAGAGAAAAGCGCUAGAAAUUACUGGAGCUGUGGGAGAGACGGGAGCCUGCCCCGCAGCCAGAUACCCAGAGGCGUUCUCGGAAGAUGGGGGAGGUGGAAGUCCGUUUCCUGUCAGCUCCGGCAUGAACCACGGGGAGGGCUUAUGGCUGGAUGAAACCAGCGCAGGAGUCACAGAGAGGCUGCUCCACAGGAGAGCGAGUCCUCCAGAGGACAAGGCGAGAACCCAGCUGCUCAAAUGGUAGGCUCAGGCAUCGCUCAGCUAUUUGCGUCCACACGGAAGGAGCACUGCAGUGGUCCACGGGAGGACGGCUCUCAGAGCUCAGGUUGCCUUGGAACCCAUCUUAGCUUCUUGCUGGUUUGCUACAAAGCUCUCUGCACCCGGGCCUGCUCACUCGAGAGCUGGCCUUUCUGACACUAGCCAACCUACUGGAAAUAUCCAAGACUCUAAGUGGCUCAGCUCUUCUUCCCUGAGAGUUGGGGUAACAGCAGAGGGGCUUAUGUCUGAUGGGAGCAUCUCUGGCCUCCACACCAGGCACCUUUUUCCCUGGGCCUCCACUUUCCCAUCUCCUUAUUCUGUUUAAAACCGGAGAAAUAAGGGAAGGAGGUUGCUUCCCUCUUACAAGGUGCUAUAGAAUAGACUGCCCCCUGGGAAACGUGCUUCUCAGACUACCCCACAGAUGUGAAGUAUCACACGUGGGGGCUCCAUCUGGAUAUAGAAGUUGGAGUUCCCUUGCUGAGAUGCAUUCCCAGUGGAUGCCAAGAGGAUGAGGAAAAUGCUGUAGCAGAGAGGGAAAAUCAAUAUCCCACAGGAAGCCAGCGCUCGAACUGUUUGCUCUGUGUCUGAUGCCGGGUUGUCUGGGGAGAAUUUCACAGUCAAGCUCUAAGACUGCUUGUCUUUUCCCAAAGUUUUAGUGAAGAAUCCUUCUGAAUAUCUGCUCUCCCAGGAGAAGAGACCAAGACAUUUAAAGUGCUCUUUAACACUGCAAUUCUUGAAAGAUGUCAAAGAAACAGCAAAGGGUGGGGGCUGGAAGAAUCAUUGCUCUUUUCCCAGGGUACAAGAACCUCCUUAGGGGAGAGAAGAGGUGAAGAAGGCAUGCUGCUGAGAAGGCCAGGGGCUGGAACCUAGGUACUGCAAGUGUGGUUGGUUUAUUUCAUCAUUAUUGGAAAAUUCAUGGAAUUGAUUUAAUGCUGGUCUGUUCCUUCCAUAGCAUGUGAAUCAUGGAGGCUGCUUAUUUGAAUACAUAGCAGAAGCUCCCUGUAUGGAAAUAGCAUGUAAAUGCAGAUGCUUUGAACUCAACUGGAAGAUUAACCCUCCUUUAAUUUAAAGUGUCCUUUAAAUUAUUUUUGAAACUCCUUUCUAUUGGAGUUGACUUUGAAGAUAGACUCAUUCAUUCAGUAGUGUGGUACCAAGCACCUACUCCUCAAUCUAUGAAAGGCUCUGGGGACACGAGGUGAUGAACAUGACAGUUACUGAAUUAUAGAGAUCAUGGAUCAGUAGAAAAAAUUCAGAUGCAUUUGCCAUACAAUAUGCUAAGUGCUGUGGUGGAAACAGUGCAAGACAGCACCGAGUGCUUAGAAAAGGCCUGUCAGAGAAGCAUGAAGGGUUAAGAAAGCUUCUUGGAAGAAGUGACUCCUACCUGAGACCUGAAGGAUGCAGAGUAGAAAAAUAGUUAAAAUAAGAGAAGACAGUGUUUCAGGCAGAGAAAACCCCACGGACAAAGGCCCAGAGAGAGGGAGAAUCAGGCGUGGUAGUGAAAGUGAAAGAGCUCAGUAUGGCUGGAGCCUAGAGGCAUGGGACAGUGUGGGUGGGAGACUGUACCAGGCUUUGAACUCGAGCAUCUGUGUAGACAGUGGCGACACAGUCAGAUUUAUUUGUAUCCGACAAGCAGCAGGAGGAGCAGAUUUGAGUGAGAAAACUCAGUCCUUUUUUUAAUAUUCUGAUUUUGAAGUUUCUGUAGGAUGUCCAAUUAAUGAUGUCCAAAAAACAAUAUAUAAUUCUAAAACACAGGAGAAAGAGCUGGGCAAGAAAAAAUAAAUCUAAGUAACAG
rnacentral:lncRNA from 10 species